UACGUAGGGUGCAAGCGUUAAUCGGAAUUACUGGGCGUAAAGCGUGCGCAGGCGGUUCGUUGUGUCUGUGGUGAAAGCCCCGGGCUUAACCUGGGAAUGGCCAUGGAAACUGGCGAGCUGGGGUGGCAGAGGGGGGUGGAAUUCCGCGUGUAGCAGUGAAAUGCGUAGAGAUCGGGAGGAACACCAGUGGCGAAGGCGGCUACCUGGACCAGCACUGACACUGAAGCACGAAAGCGUGGGGAGCAAACAGGG
rnacentral:rRNA from 1 species